UGGUUACUGUCACCAUAGCAGCUCGGCUCGGCCCCUCAAACACAGGACAGCGGUGUUAUUUAAUAUUUGGCUGCGCGCGAGCAUAGCAUGUUUGUAUCACACAAUCCUGUGACACUUGCUUUUCUCUCUCUCUGUAGCUGGGCCCUCGUGCUCCUCAUACCCCUCACGUGCAGUUGAAUAGCUGUUGCUAUGUUUUCCUCUAUCAGGCAAACAUCGACAGAGGCUGAACUGCUAGUCCAGAGCUCACCUCCCGCCCCGCGGACUCGGACACUUUGGCCGCCGUCGGCGCCAACUGAGAAGCGGCAGCAGAGAUUUCAAGGAGGCUGAUGUGAUGCAAGGCCGGCCCAAACCUUUUUGGGACCCGAAGCAGAUUGUCAGUUUGUGCACCCUAAACAGACAUGUCAACACAAGAUGCUAAGCUACUCUCUACGUAAAGUGAAGCCUGCUGAGAAGAAAAGCACUUGUCAAAACAUCAAUCAGGAGGGAAAUGAACCAACCGCCGUGCCUUCACCCGUGCAAUCAAAGGAAGGUGUGUCUGUUGCUCACCGCCCCUGGAGACGGCCAGGAAAGGUGUAUCCGCUGUAACCGUGGCAACACAAACAGCAUGAUUCAAACACUGAUUAAAAUGUGAGCGAAGAUUA